rnacentral:rRNA from 1 species
CCUACGGGAGGCAGCAGUAGGGAAUCUUGCACAAUGGGCGAAAGCCUGAUGCAGCAACGCCGCGUGAAGGAUGAAGGCCUUCGGGUUGUAAACUUCUGUUCUAAGGGAAGAAACAAAUGACGGUACCUUAGGAGCAAGCCCCGGCUAACUACGUGCCAGCAGCCGCGGUAAUACGUAGGGGGCAAGCGUUAUCCGGAAUUAUUGGGCGUAAAGAGUGCGUAGGUGGUUACCUAAGCGCAAGGUUUAAUUUAGAGGCUCAACCUCUACUUGCCUUGCGAACUGGGCUACUUGAGUGCAGGAGGGGAAAGCGGAAUUCCUAGUGUAGCGGUGAAAUGCGUAGAUAUUAGGAGGAACACCAGCGGCGAAGGCGGCUUUCUGGACUGUAACUGACACUGAGGCACGAAAGCGUGGGUAGCAAACAGGAUUAGAUACCCCAGUA